rnacentral:rRNA from 1 species
CAGCAGCCACGGUAAUACAGAGGGUGCGAGCGUUAAUCGGAUUUACUGGGCGUAAAGCGUGCGUAGGCGGCUUUUUAAGUCGGAUGUGAAAUCCCUGAGCUUAACUUAGGAAUUGCAUUCGAUACUGGGAAGCUAGAGUAUGGGAGAGGAUGGUAGAAUUCCAGGUGUAGCGGUGAAAUGCGUAGAGAUCUGGAGGAAUACCGAUGGCGAAGGCAGCCAUCUGGCCUAAUACUGACGCUGAGGUACGAAAGCAUGGGGAGCAAACAGGAUUAGAUACCCGGGUAGUCCCUGUCUCUUAUAC